UACGGAGGGGGCAAGCGUUGUUCGGAAUUAUUGGGCGUAAAGCGUAUGUAGGCGGCUAAGUAAGUCAGGCGUGCAAGCCCGUGGCUCAACCACGGAAUUGCGUUUGAAACUGUUUAGCUUGAGUGCAGGAGAGGAAAGCGGAAUUCCCAGUGUAGCGGUGAAAUGCAUUGAUAUUGGGAAGAACAUCUGUGGCGAAGGCGGCUUUCUGGUCUGUUACUGACGCUGAGAUACGAAAGCCAGGGUAGCGAACGGG
rnacentral:rRNA from 1 species